rnacentral:rRNA from 1 species
UACGGAGGGUGCAAGCGUUAUCCGGAUUUACUGGGUUUAAAGGGUGUGUAGGCGGGCUAUUAAGUCAGCGGUGAAAUCUCCGGGCUCAACCCGGAAACUGCCAUUGAUACUAUUAGUCUUGAAUUUUGUUGAGGUUGACGGAAUAUGUCAUGUAGCGGUGAAAUGCAUAGAUAUGACAUAGAACACCGAUUGCGAAGGCAGUUAACUAAACAAAUAUUGACGCUGAGGCACGAAAGCGUGGGGAUCAAACAGG